rnacentral:rRNA from 1 species
UACACUCCUACGGGAGGCAGCAGUGGGGAAUAUUGGACAAUGGGCGCAAGCCUGAUCCAGCCAUGCCGCGUGAGUGAUGAAGGCCCUAGGGUUGUAAAGCUCUUUCACCGGUGAAGAUAAUGACGGUAACCGGAGAAGAAGCCCCGGCUAACUUCGUGCCAGCAGCCGCGGUAAUACGAAGGGGGCUAGCGUUGUUCGGAUUUACUGGGCGUAAAGCGCACGUAGGCGGACUAUUAAGUCAGGGGUGAAAUCCCGGGGCUCAACCCCGGAACUGCCUUUGAUACUGGUAGUCUUGAGUUCGAGAGAGGUGAGUGGAAUUCCGAGUGUAGAGGUGAAAUUCGUAGAUAUUCGGAGGAACACCAGUGGCGAAGGCGGCUCACUGGCUCGAUACUGACGCUGAGGUGCGAAAGCGUGGGGAGCAAACAGGAUUAGAUACCCUUGUAGUCCCAU